rnacentral:tRNA from 1 species
GAUCAUAUAGCGUAAUGCGGCAAAAUGUUAGUGCGAGAAGAUGAUAAUAGGAAAGCGGGAAGG